CCGUCUCCUCCGCGAUCUCCUCUCACUCGCUUCCCCGGCGUCGGCAGCAGUGCGAGGGGCGACCUGACAGCGGCUCUGUCAGCAGGGGAAGCUCACUUUGCCCCGGUUACCGCUCCGAUUCACUCUCCGCAUCUGCGGCGGCGGGAUUGAAAGCGCAGUUAAGGGGUUCUGUCUGGAAUAAGAAAGCAUCGCUGUUUCUGACUAGGGAGAAGAAAGAUAAGAUUCCUCUGGAUUUCCUAACAUAUGUGAUCUGGACACCUUACUGAUUUUGUCUAACAUUUGAAAGGGAGUCCGGAGGAGUCUUACGCUUUCCUUCUUCCAGUCUGAACGAGCCACUUAGACCAUUCCCCCGUCACUGGUUAGCGAUGCGCUAGACUUGUGGCUCAGCCGUGACAGACGAGAGCACCUGGCAAGUAGACUGAUGGCACCUGCGUGAACUUGGGAGGAAACGUUCUCUGUCCUGAGACGGCAACAACACGAUGAACCUUGGAGAGAGGUCUCUCUGCAGUCUCUUGCAGGUCUCAGGACAGGGAGCAUUCCACCUCUGACGUCCACGUCUUCUGCCUGA